rnacentral:misc_RNA from 1 species
UUUCCGUAGGUGAACCUGCGGAAGGAUCAUUGUCGAAACUUGCACAGUGUUAGUGGACAUGUGAACUUGUCAGGACACAUAUAGGGGGUGCGCGAGGAGCUUCUUUGUCUCCUCCCGUCGUUAAUGGGGGUACGUGGUCUAGAGGCCAUGUGUACCUCGGUCCAACUCUCAAAAUCGGCACGAGACGUGCCAAGGAAACUCAAUUCGAAAUUCUAUUACUUGGCCCACGCAAUAUGUAUGCGUGUGUUCGAGGAGGAGACAUAUGAAAUAGUUGGUGUGAUAAAAUGACUCUCGGCAAUGGAUAUCUCGGCUCACGCAUCGAUGAAGAACGCAGCAAAAUGUGAUACUUGGUAUGAAUUGCAGAAUCUCGUGAGUCAUUGAGUUUUUGAAUGCAAGUUGCGCCUGAAGCCAUUUUUUUGGUCUAGGGCACACCUGCCUGGGCGUCGUUCAUGCAGUUUUCCAGUGACCUCCUCCACGAGACCCAAUCCUCGGUUGAUUUUUUGAGGGGGUACGGGCAUGAGGAACCACUCGGGUGUAUGUUGGCCUCCCGUUCCUUGUUGUUCGGUUGGUUUAAAUUUGGGGCCCUUGGUGGCAUGCAUCGUUGAUGAGAGUUAUCGUAAACAACGUUUGUCCGGUGUUGGCAGGUGAGCCCCCUCGGUCCCAUGGAUUCCUUGACACUUACAUGGAGUUGCCAUUUCGACCCC